rnacentral:rRNA from 1 species
AUACGUAGGGUGCAAGCGUUAAUCGGAAUUACUGGGCGUAAAGCGUGCGCAGGCGGUUUUGUAAGACAGAGGGGAAAUCCCCGGGCUCAACCUGGGAACUGCCUUUGUGAAUGCAAGGCUAGAGUACGGGAGAGGGGGAUGGAAUUCCGCGUGUAGCAGUGAAAUGCGUAGAUAUGCGGAGGAACACCGAUGGUGAAGGCGAUCCCCUGGGCCUGAACUGACGCGCAGGCACGAAAACGUGGGGAGCAAACAGGAUUAGAUACCCUGGGAGUCCACGCCCUAAACGAUGUGAUCUGGUUGUGGGGUCUUCAUUGACUCAGUGACGAAGCUAACGCGUGAAGUUGACCGCCUGGGGAGUACGGCCGCAAGGUUGAAACUCAAAUGAAUUGACGGGG